UGGAUAAAUGGCUGGUCGUAUAUUCAUAGAGUGAGAAUCCCCACAACUACAGUAGAAAGGGGAAAGCAAGCCUCUCCCCUUACAGAUCUGGGGUUCCUCCGAACAUCCUUUGGGAAAUCCUGGACUAAAAGAGCUUCAACAUGUGUGCUGGGAAUUCCAUGUGACGAGUAGCUAUCGUAUCCUGAGAAUCUGGUCUGUGAAGCCAGGCUGGUAGGCGAGGAAGAAGAGGAGGACAUGCUGCUGGCUUGGCACCUCCAGACUUGUCUUCUCUCCCUGGAACACUCUUCUCCCCUCCUCAGCCUGGCCAGUCACCAGUUCAGACAUUACCUCCUGCCGGCACCCUGAUUGCCUUUCCAGUGGGCUCUCGUGCUCCUUGAAGGUACCUUUCUCACAUGAGAACACCUUGAAACAAACCAAACAGGCAAAAGCUAACAGCUGCUUCUCAA